AGAAUUGAAUGCAGGGUUUUUAACAAGCAGGGUUUUUAACAAGCAGGGUUUUUAAACAAACAGGGUUUUAAGCAACCGGGUCUCUCACCCGACCCACAAAAAUCUCACGCUGUAACUUUUCUGCAACCGAGAAACGCACGAUUUCAGCGCUUCUACGAUUAAGCACGACGAUCCUCUGAUAAGCUGUAGAAGAGGAGUUUUUUUGGAGUAAAAAUGAAGUACGUUUUGGUGACUGGUGGAGUUGUUAGUGGACUUGGAAAAGGAGUCACUGCAAGCAGCAUUGGCGUACUCCUUCAAGCUUGUGGUUUUCGUGUUACUUCCAUCAAAAUUGAUCCGUACCUGAACACUGAUGCAGGGACAAUGUCUCCUUUUGAGCAUGGGGAGGUGUUUGUCUUAGAUGAUGGUGGUGAGGUUGAUCUUGAUCUUGGAAACUAUGAACGUUUCUUGGACAUCAAAUUAACUCGCGACAAUAAUAUCACAACUGGAAAAAUUUAUCAGUCUGUUGUUGAGAAGGAAAGAAAAGGAGAUUAUCUUGGCAAAACUGUCCAGGUUGUUCCACACAUUACAGAUGCCAUCCAAGAGUGGAUAGAACGUGUUGCACAGGUACCUGUUGAUGGAAAAGAAGGCCCAGCUGAUGUUUGUGUUAUUGAAUUGGGUGGAACUAUAGGUGAUAUUGAAUCUAUGCCUUUUAUUGAAGCACUUGGACAAUUUUCAUACCGCGUAGGUCCUUGCAACUUCUGUUUGGUUCAUGUCAGCCUGGUGCCUGUUCUCAAUGUUGUUGGCGAACAGAAAACAAAACCAACCCAGCACAGUGUCCGUCAACUUCGAGGGUUAGGAUUGAUCCCAAAUCUUCUCGCUUGUCGCAGUUCAAAGGAACUUGAUGAUAAUGUUAAGGCAAAACUUGCUCAAUUUUGUCAUGUGCCGUUAUCAAAUAUACUCACUUUAUGUGAUGUUCCAAAUAUUUGGCACAUUCCUUUGCUGUUAAGAGACCAGAAGGCACAUGAAGCAAUCCUGAAAACAUUGAACCUGCAAGGUGUUGCUACAGAGCCUAAUUUUAAGGAGUGGAUCACUCGAACAAAAGUUUAUGACAAUUUUAAUGAAUCUGUUAGAAUUGCAAUGGUGGGAAAAUAUACAGGCCUUUCUGAUGCAUAUCUUUCUGUGCUGAAGGCACUUAUGCAUGCUUCUGUUGCUUGCAAUCGCAAGCUCAUUGUGGACUGGGUUCCUGCUGGGGAUCUGGAAGAUGAUACCUUUAAAGAGGAUCCUGAUGCAUAUAAAGCUGCUUGGAGUCUUUUAGAGGGUGCUAAUGGGAUUCUAGUUCCAGGAGGUUUUGGUGAUAGAGGAGUACAAGGGAAAACUUUUGCUGCUAAGUAUGCUCGAGAAAAUAGUGUUCCAUUUCUGGGCAUUUGCUUGGGGAUGCAAAUUGCUGUCAUUGAAUUUGCAAGAUCUGUUCUUGGUCUUGAUGAUGCUAAUAGCACAGAAUUUGAUCCUGAAACAAAAAAUCCUUGUGUCAUAUUUAUGCCAGAAGGUUCAAAGACUCAUAUGGGUGGAACUAUGCGUCUUGGUUCGAGGAGAACAUACUUCCAUGUUGAUGAGUGCAAAUCAGCCAAGUUGUAUGACAAUGUAAACUUUAUCGAUGAGCGACAUCGCCAUAGAUACGAGGUUAAUCCUGACAUGAUAUCACAACUUGAAACUGCUGGUCUUUCCUUUGUUGGCAAAGACGAAACUGGGAGACGUAUGGAGAUAGUUGAAAUGCCUGGUCAUCCUUUCUUUAUUGGUGCUCAGUUUCACCCAGAGUUUAAGUCAAGACCUGGGAAACCUUCUCCACUAUUCUCUGGAUUAAUCGAAGCAGCAUGUGAGAGGACAGUUGUGUUAAAAAGCAAAGGGAAUGCGAAUUUAACCAAUGGGGUACUUGAAGUACACUCGCCAACGUCGAAAUCACAGAAUGGAAAUGGGUUCAUAUCUUCCAAUGGUUCCUUAAAUGGUGUAUGUCCCAAUGGCAAUGGCGUCUAUGUUGAUGGGGAAGUUUAGUAAUAUCAACUUUUUUAGCUUACAAUUGUGCUUUGGUUUUCUCCUAGCACAUUUUUGUCCUUGGUUAGCUUGUACAGUUUGAAGUGGUUGGUUAGAUAACUUUGAGCUUUAUCUAAUGCUUUUGUUUCCAGCAUGAAGCAAAUUUUGGGUGUAACAGCUUUUGUUUCAAAGCAUAUAGGGAAAAAACCACUUUCCUUUUGUUUUCAUUUUUUCUUAUUCCUGAAUAUUGUGGGCUCUGAUUCUGGAGGAACAUAACAAAUGGACAAAUGGAACAAGUUUCAAACAUUUGGAGGAAAAACAUUUGGAAUCUGAUUAUGCAGCUGCAACAUUUGGCAUUCUAGUUCUUUGAUAUUCUUAUGCAAGAAGCACAUGAUUAUGUCUAAAUCUUAUACACUUUUUUCAAAAUCACUUGGUUAAUCAUUUCUAUUCUCAUUUUUCCUUUCUUCUUUCUAGUUAUGUAGCUAUUGCAUAGCUAAACAAUAGAACAGUUUUGUCUCCUUCAUAUUGUUAAGGUUCAUCGUCAGACUCACUAAUUACUAUUUCAAGGAUUGCUCUAUUAACUUAGUUAUCA